rnacentral:rRNA from 1 species
UACGGAGGGGACUAGCGUUGUUCGGAAUUACUGGGCGUAAAGCGCACGUAGGCGGAUUUGUAAGUCAGGGGUGAAAUCCCGGGGCUCAACCUCGGAACUGCCUUUGAUACUGCAAAUCUCGAGUCCGGAAGAGGUGAGUGGAAUUCCUAGUGUAGAGGUGAAAUUCGUAGAUAUUAGGAAGAACACCAGUGGCGAAGGCGGCUCACUGGUCCGGUACUGACGCUGAGGUGCGAAAGCGGUGGGAGCAAACAGG